rnacentral:lncRNA from 1 species
UGAUAAUAUUUGACCUCCGUGACUAUAUCAAUCCAUGUUUCUUUUUGCGAAUCCUUUAUUGUUCAGAAGAACGUGAGAAAGAAGCAGCUGAGAAAGAAAAAGAAUCUGCAGGCCAGCAAGGAGGUGCCGAUUCAUCAGGGGGUGCAGGAUCACAACCAGUGAAAAAAGUAUCUUCCAGAGAGAUGUCUAGUAGCAAAAGUGAAGACAGUCUGGAUGAAGAAUUUGUUGAUCCUCCCUUACCCCCCGAGGAGUCAGUCGAUGACUCUGAUGAGGAGCUGAUUGGCCCACCACUUCCUCCUGGCUACAACAACGAAGAGGAUGAUGAUGAUGAUGAUGACGAUGAUGAUGAAAGUGCCCAGGAAGAAGAUGAGCUUUUAUGACCAUUUACUGACGUUGCUGCUGUGCUUGUGACGUGAGGAUGAGAGAAGAGAAAAGUCAUUAAAUACAUGGGGAC